CUUUAACCUCAAGUCCUCUUGCUGCUAACUUAAGCUGCGACUGUCCAGGACCUGCACACACACACACAUGCACGCAUGCACACACACACACACAGAAGGUGAACACACAGGAUGAGGCCCUGAAAACUCAUUUCACCCGUGUACCUCACCCAAAAAUUCCCCUUUGUACUCCUAUCUUUAUCUCUAACUGACAGCAUGAAGGUAGCCCGAAGUCCCCUCACCCUGUCUGUCCUCCUGAUUCUCUAGCCCAGUUCCCUCUAGCUCCAGCACAGACUCUUAUCUCCAGCCCUGACUGCCGAAACCCUCCAGCCCCAGCUCCAGCCCCUCAGGAGGGGACUGCGUGGGAGGAAUGACUCCAGCAAGCCGGCAGCUGACCCGUCUCCUGCCUGCACGCCUCCCGCUGUGGUCCACUGCCGGUGGUCUUCAGCUCUCUCCUCGUCCCACCCCCAUGGUCUGCUGACAGCCCAGCUCAGUGCAUCCCUGCCAUCUCUGCUCUACCGCUGGUCCUCCCAACAACCAACUUACAGUUACAGCGCAUCUUGAUCUUGUUCCUCCGUGACUGUCCCUGGCUCAGCUUCCACCCCCAGCUGGGGCUCAGCU
rnacentral:lncRNA from 1 species